rnacentral:rRNA from 1 species
CUUAGGCGUGUGACUGCGUACCUUUUGUAUAAUGGGUCAGCGACUUAUAUUCUGUAGCAAGGUUAACCGAAUAGGGGAGCCGAAGGGAAACCGAGUCUUAACUGGGCGUUAAGUUGCAGGGUAUAGACCCGAAACCCGGUGAUCUAGCCAUGGGCAGGUUGAAGGUUGGGUAACACUAACUGGAGGACCGAACCGACUAAUGUUGAAAAAUUAGCGGAUGACUUGUGGCUGGGGGUGAAAGGCCAAUCAAACCGGGAGAUAGCUGGUUCUCCCCGAAAGCUAUUUAGGUAGCGCCUCGUGAAUUCAUCUCCGGGGGUAGAGCACUGUUUCGGCAAGGGGGUCAUCCCGACUUACCAACCCGAUGCAAACUGCGAAUACCGGAGAAUGUUAUCACGGGAGACACACGGCGGGUGCUAACGUCCGUCGUGAAGAGGGAAACAACCCAGACCGCCAGCUAAGGUCCCAAAGUCAUGGUUAAGUGGGAAACGAUGUGGGAAGGCCCAGACAGCCAGGAUGUUGGCUUAGAAGCAGCCAUCAUUUAAAGAAAGCGUAAUAGCUCACUGGUCGAGUCGGCCUGCGCGGAAGAUGUAACGGGGCUAAACCAUGCACCGAAGCUGCGGCAGCGACGCUGAUGCGUUGUUGGGUAGGGGAGCGUUCUGUAAGCCUGCGAAGGUGUGCUGUGAGGCAUGCUGGAGGUAUCAGAAGUGCGAAUGCUGACAUAAGUAACGAUAAAGCGGGUGAAAAGCCCGCUCGCCGGAAGACCAAGGGUUCCUGUCCAACGUUAAUCGGGGCAGGGUGAGUCGACCCCUAAGGCGAGGCCGAAAGGCGUAGUCGAUGGGAAACAGGUUAAUAUUCCUGUACUUGGUGUUACUGC